GACUAGGUAGCUCAGCUGGUAGAGCAUAACACUUUUAAUGUUAGGGUCCUGGGUUCGAACCCCAGCCUGGUCACAA
rnacentral:tRNA from 1 species